rnacentral:rRNA from 1 species
AGUGAACGCUGGCGGUAGGCCUAACACAUGCAAGUCGAACGGCAGCACAGUAAGAGCUUGCUCUUACGGGUGGCGAGUGGCGGACGGGUGAGGAAUACAUCGGAAUCUACUUUUUCGUGGGGGAUAACGUAGGGAAACUUACGCUAAUACCGCAUACGACCUACGGGUGAAAGCAGGGGAUCUUCGGACCUUGCGCGAUUGAAUGAGCCGAUGUCGGAUUAGCUAGUUGGCGGGGUAAAGGCCCACCACGGCGACGAUCCGUAGCUGGUCUGAGAGCGUGAACAGACAGACUGGAUCUGAGACAGAGUCCAGACUCCUACGGGAGGACGCAGUGGGGAAUAUUGCACGAUGGGGGCAAGCCUGAUCCAGGCAUACCGCGUAGGUGAAGAAGGACUUCUGGUUGUAGAGCGCUUUUGUUGGGAAGGAAAUGCAGCAGGUUAAUACCCCGCUGUUCUGACGGUACCCGAAGAAUAAGCACCGGCUAACUUCGUG